UGUUAUCUGAAUAUUGAUGAAGACGCACUCUGCGAGAAAGCGAGGAGGAGUCCAGAAGACGGCCAAACUCUUGGUCUCGCACCCACCGCCCACACCGCUCAAGAGUCCAAGCGUCGCCAUCGACUCGCCGUUGCACCUUCACCCGGCCUUCUCAACGGUAAAAAUGGCGUCAAUAAAAGCUCAGGAACAAACAGCAAAUCCACCAAUCCACCAUUCACGAUUCACCAUCCACACUCACAGACUCACCGAUCCUGUCUACAAACUACAAAUCCUCCAUAGCAAGUAGCAACCACUGAACCACUGAACGUCUGAACCACAAGGUCUUCACUCUUCAGUCUUCACACUUCAAGUCCAGCCCUUCGGCCUUCGCCUAAGCCUUAUCACCUAAUUAUCAGGGAUUGAAGGCACAUGUUAACCGGUUAGGGCAAGAUAAAGAUUUUUGAUUAAUUGAUUCUCAAGUUCAAACAGGUGCUUUUGUUCCUUUUUUUUUUGUUAAGAUCAAUUUUAUUUUAAUUUUUAUUGACCUUCCACUUGGAAGGUUUUACUUGAUAAUGUGUCAAACUUAACUGUAAAAUCUUUAUGCAAUACACGAUGGGAGAGUCGAAUAAAAAGUGUCAAAGCUAUUAGAUUUCAAGCUCCUCAAAUAAGGUUGGCUUUGUUAGAAUUAUGUGAAUCUUGUGAUGAUGCCAAAUCAAAGAGUGAAGCGGAAAGCUUGGUUAGUGCACUUGAGAGUUUUGAAUUUUUACUUGGAAUUGUUAUUUGGUAUGAAAUUUUAUUUGCUAUUAACAUGGUAAGUAAAAGGUUGCAAACAAAAUCUAUGUGCAUUGAAACUACUAAAAAUCAAAUUAAAGGUGUAAUAGAUUUUUUUGAGAAGUAUAGAAAUGAAGGGUUUGUUUCUAGUAUAAAUAUUGCCAAAAGUAUUGCAUGUGAGAUGAACAUAGAGCCUACAUUUCCAAUUAAACGUCGUAUUAUUAGGAAAAAACAAUUUGAUGAAAAUGAUUAUGAGGAGGAAAUGCAAUCACCUGAGGAAUCUUUUAGAGUUAAUUAUUUUCUAAUUGUUGUGGAUAUGGCAAUUGCUUCAUUGAAUACUAGAUUUGAACAAUUGAACACAUUUGAAAAUAUUUUUGGAUUCUUAUAUGAUUCAAAAAAAUUGAAGUCAUUAGAUAAUGAUGAAUUAAUGGAAUGUUGUAAUAAUUUUGCAUUUACUUUUUCUCAUAACAAUGUGUCAGAUGUAGAUUCAAAUGAUCUUUUUUUCUGAAUUAAAAGUGUUACAGGUGACUUUGCCAGACAAGUUGAUGUCCGCAAUCGAGAUUCUUGAGUUUGUCAAAGUUGCAGAUUGCUACCCAACGGUUUCUAUUGCUUAUCGGAUUCUAUUGACUAUACAGGAACGGCCCUGCUUAGCUCGUCUGCUCUUCGACGUCCGUAAAUGACUCCAGCCUCCACCCCUCCCACUACCGCUGGAGCCAUCACUAUCAUCGGUCUCUCUCUCUCGAAAAUGGCGGUACCGGUGAGGAAGACGACGAAACAGUAGUAAUGGCGUGGGUAAGGGAGCUAAUUUUUGCAUAUUGUUAUUGCAAUCAUUAAAGGAGGCAAGAUGCUGAUGUUUCACGUGAUGCCCCAUUCAAUUUACUAUUUUCAAUAAUAAUAUUAUUAUUGUAGAGGUAGCAGAAUUUAUGGAAUGGUUUGGCAGUAUGUUAGGCUUUUUUCUGGAAGUGGGAAAAUUGAUUGUCUUUAGCUUUUAGCUUUAGCACAAUGGGAUUAAGCCAUGUAUUUUUAAUGAAAAAAUAGUGUAGCCGUGGUCCCAUUUCAAUGUAAAAGGAGUGCCGGAUUCUUCGUGUCCGUGAAUGAAGGUGAUAAAUGCAGUUGACCAUGGUGAACAAUGUCGCCGCAUCACACCACUACCGGAUUUCCAUGGUGCCACCGCUCCAUCACCACGGCCCCCUCCAUCGCAGCCACGAUGUCUCUCUCUCCUUCCCUCGUCGGAGCAAAACGCUAAAGUCGUUAUAGCUGCCGUAACCAAGCUUCCCUCAACUAUCAAACACCACUUCAUCAUCACCUUCCUACUGCCCGCCACUGAGACCACCGUACCGGUAGAACUCCGGUAGCCUGUGUCGAACUUGGAUUUUCAUCGACCAGCUCAUCUCCUCCGGCCACCGUCGCCACCCUCUUCGGCUCGCACUCCAAACCACCAGGACCCAUAAUAUUUUCUUUAUUAUUGUUUUGUCUUGUAUUGGCUUUGGAAUGGGAAAAUAAGAGUAAAAAAGGGAAGGGUGUUGGGCAUAGGGUGAAGAAAAUAAUAAAAGUGGGGGAAGAAAAGACAAAAAAGUGAAAAAGACAAAAAUGGUGGGAAGAAUAAAAGAAAGUGGAGAAAAUUGUGGAAGAAAGUGGGAAGAAAAGACAAAAAAGAAAAAUGACAAAAGGUUGUGGGAGAAAGAAAUCAGGAGAAAGGAAAGAAAAUAAGGAAAAGAACAAAAAUAUAUAUAAUAUAGUGUAGUGGAAGACAAAAGUACCACUCUAAUAUAUUAUUGUUAUCUUCGGAAGGGAUAUUUCUCCAAUAUGUUCCCAUCACCACGCUCCUGUACGAAAAUUAUUGAAGAUGAAGACUUCAAUGAAGGUGGAGAUUAUUGAAGACUUGGAGAUUCCAACAAAGAUCAGAAUUGUUGAAGACCAAGAUUCCAAAGAUGAAGAUUGUAGUCCCUUAUUAGAAAUGAUAGAUUUUUGUAUCCCGAUUUUCUUUAAGGAGACUCUUGUAAAAAAUAAAAAAAUAAAAAUAAAAACUCUCCGACUCUUCCGUUU